rnacentral:rRNA from 1 species
GACGAACGCUGGCGGCGUGCUUAACACAUGCAAGUCGAACGGAAAGGCCUCUUCGGAGGUACUCGAGUGGCGAACGGGUGAGUAACACGUGGGUAAUCUGCCCUGCACUUCGGGAUAAGCCUGGGAAACUGGGUCUAAUACUGAAUAUGACCACGAGGCGCAUGUCUUGUGGUGGAAAGCUUUUGCGGUGUGGGAUGGGCCCGCGGCCUAUCAGCUUGUUGGUGGGGUGACGGCCUACCAAGGCGACGACGGGUAGCCGGCCUGAGAGGGUGUCCGGCCACACUGGGACUGAGAUACGGCCCAGACUCCUACGGGAGGCAGCAGUGGGGAAUAUUGCACAAUGGGCGCAAGCCUGAUGCAGCGACGCCGCGUGGGGGAUGACGGCCUUCGGGUUGUAAACCUCUUUCAGCAGGGACGAAGCGCAAGUGACGGUACCUGCAGAAGAAGCACCGGCCAACUACG